rnacentral:sRNA from 1 species
CUUCUUUGCAUCUUACUCCUUUGUGCUCUCUAGCCUUCUGUCAUCACCCGUU